CUGCGAAAAAAAAACGCGCAGGGGAGAUCCGAAACAGCUUCAUCCCCUCAUCACUUUCCUCGCCGGCGGCGACAGCGUUGUCACCUGCAAAACACCAAAACGCAACAAGCAAGGUUUCCGGUUCUGUCUCCUUUUUUGGAUCUCUUCUCUGUUGUCAUUUUUUUUGUUUUCGGUUCAUUGUUCUCUCCUUCUCCAGGUGAUAGAUCCGGUAGUUAUGGAGGAGUGCUGGAGACCGGAGGCGGACAGAUCGGAGAUCCGUGGGCGCCGCUUUUCGGGCUGCUACUGGAGGCUCCGAUCCGGUUGAGGAGCUGCGAAGAGCAAAGGGAGCAGCUGAGAGGGAGGAUCUGUGGAGGAGGAGUUGCUGCUGUUGGAGGACGCCGUUGAUGGUCUGGAGGAGGAG
rnacentral:lncRNA from 1 species